GGAAGCCCGGGCAGUGUCCGCUCUCAGACAGCAGUGUCCUUCCCUGGGAAGAAACAGCCCUCCCUAGAAGUGCUGGGUCUGCAUGCCUGGGGGCUUGAAAUGGGAUUCUGAUGCGAGGUGCUGCAGGACCACCACUGCGGUAAGGUUUCUGCAAACCUUGUGCAAAUGGGAGACGUUGGCAUCCCCCCCGUCCCCUCCCAGGGCCCUCUCUGCUUUUCCUUUGUGGCAUCCGUCACACUUGUAAUUACUUGUUUAGCAUCUGUCUGCUUCUCUGGGCUGCGUGUGUUGGCCUUGUUCAUGGCUGGGUCCCCAGCACUGAGCAGCCUGCCUGGGGCGUAAUAAGUGUGUGUUGGGAAAACAAACAAACAGACGCCUGGCUGGCUGAAUAAAUGCACGGAUGCUCUUCAGAGCAGCUGGACUCAGUGUCCCCCCCCCCACCCCAACCCCAAGGCCUGGGUUCUGACACAGGCUCUGUGGCCACACACUUUUUGUGUGAUCUUGGGCAAGUCAUCGUGUUCUCUGAGAAAUUACAUUGAUUACUGGGGAGGAGUCGUGUGCAGAGGAUCCCUGAGAGCUCUGGAAGAACUUGUUGGAAGUGGGUUUUUGGAAGAAGAAACUGCAUGAGCAAAGAGACUGGGAAGUCCAAGAGCAUGGAGCUGGCAUCUGGAGAGGGCCCUUGGGCUCCAUCAUUGCAUAGUGGAAGGCAAAAAGCUGGACAGCCCUUCAUCUCUCUGACUGGUCCAUCUCAGAGGACAAGCCCUGGAGACACGGCGCCUUUCAACUGUACUGCUGGCCCCUUCAACUCCCAGGACUUCUCCCGGGACUUCUGUGUUACCUGGUUGAAGGACAGUGACGAACAUCCAGCUUCAGCUCAGAGCCUGGUGCCUGACAAGGGAGGCAAUGACUUCAUUACCAGCAAGGCAUGGGUGACACUGACCCGACAGGAUGUCUCAUCUGAGAUCACCUGCGAAGUCACCCACAGGGCCCUGGCAGAGCCCCUGAAAACAACCAUGAAUCUCUCCCAAGUGCUCCGAGUUGUCCCCACCCUGAAGAUCACCACUGAACCCUCUGGGACCCAUGUACGUGUGCAAGACAGAGUGAAUCUCACCUGCCACGUCCUCCACUUCUAUCCCACCCACCUGCGACUCACCUGGAUGGAGAACAGGCGCAUGAUCCAGACCCUGGUGUCCCCUAAGGCCACCAGAAAUCCAGAUGGGACAUACUCUCUGGAGCACACGUGGCAGGCAGAGGCCACGCUGGAGGAGCGUGAGUUUGCUUGCUGGGUGGUCCACGAUGAGCAGCCCCCACUCAAGGCCAACAUCACCCUGCAAGCCCAGGUGCGCAGGCAGGGAAAAGGCCAGAGUGUCCAGCCUUACAAGUUGCAAGGCCCCCUUCAGCGAUCUGAGCCCGGCACAAGGAUCCGAUUGACCUACACAUCCUCCGGGUUCUCAACACACCAGAUUACUGUGACCUGGCUUAAAAACAAACACGAGCUCCCAAACCCCCAGACCAGCAUCCAGUACAGUGGACACACCUACAAUGUGACCAGCAGUGUGCUUGUCCCGCUGACGGAUGAUGAUGUGUUCUCCCACGUCGUUUGCCAUGUCGAGCACAAGUUGAUGCGGUUUUUCCAGAAAACCAUUGGCCUGGACCAGUACCUCCGGGUUCCCCCUACAGUGACAGUGUCCCAGUCUUCCACCUCCUCCAGCUUGGUGGCUGUUACUUGCCUCGUGCAGAGAUUCUAUCCACAAAACGUGCACCUCACCUGGCUAGAGGACUGCCAUACACUCAAAAGCACUGAGCAACCCACAUUAAAGAAGAAUGAUGAUGGGUCCUACACCCUGAAAAACCUGCUGCUGGUGAAUGCAUCAGUGCAGGGGCCUGAGCGGGUGCUCACCUGCAUGGUGGAACAUGAGGGACAGCCUCCCAAACGGGCCAACCUCAUACUGUCCACAGCAGCCCACACUGCUUAUAAGCCCAUUGGGAGCACAGGUCCAGAGAUGCCUGCCCUUAUCUUUGUGGUUUUCCUCCUGGGCCUCAAGGUGCUGCUGGUGAUGAGUUUCACAGUGACCUACAUCUGCAGGAGGUGGAACCUGUGACAGCCCCUGCAUGCCCUGUGAUACAUUACCUCCAGCCCUUUCCAAGGGAUUCAAGUGGGGAGAAGCUGCAAGGACUUGUAGGUCACUAAAGACCCCUUUAUUCCAUCCCUGCCACCCCCAUUGCAGACAUGCUCCCUUCCACACACCCUCCUGGUGUUCCCUCCCUCAGAGCUUUGGAGCAGAAUCAGGGAUGGAUUUUCCUCAUGAGGACUCCGGGGAUGUCUUGACCCUGAUGUACUGAGCUUCACAUUGGCCCUGCUUCCACCCAAGAGAAUCAGGCUGAUCAAGAAAAGAAGUUUCCAUUCUGCCCCUGGUCAUGAACAAUUCUUAAUUUUCAGAGCAGUUUUUACUUUUGUGCAGGGCUUUUGAAAGUAUGAUUUCAUUUUAACACACAUAUAUUUUGAAAUCACUGGCAAGUUGCACAAGCAUUUUUCUCUUCUGAAGAGUACAGAAAAAAUAUAAACAAUACCCGUUGACCUACCAUCCUAUCUUUGUAAAAUAGUAACAUUUGCCAUUAUGUUCUUCAGUUCUUUUUUAAAAAAAAAAAACCAACAAACCACUGUUCUGAAUUUGGUGUUUAUCAUUCUCAAGCAUGAUUUUUAACUUUAUAACAUAUGUAUAAAUCCUUAAGCAAUGUAUAGUAUUACUUGUCAUAUUUUAACAUUAUGUAAAUGCUAUGAUACUGUA